AUUACCUUUGUAAAGAUAUGGGUAGUGAUUUUUAAGAGCCUGGGAACAGAUUUAUACGUCUUCCUAAUCCUAAAACUCCCUGCCUGGUGCAAUGCCUUGUACCCAUAGGGGUUCAUACAAUGUUUGUUGAUUUAAAGUAGAUUUCAGAAAACAUUAUACAACAGUCAUUUGUCUUUAAAUCCAGUUCAGCAGCAAUUAAUAAUAAUCAUAACCCAGGCAUCUAGGCAAUUUGUGCUCAUUGUCUCAUUUAGUGCCCCAGGCGACCCUGUUGAAUGAGUACAACCUCCAUUGACGAAGUAGAAACAGCGGCUUCCAGGUGGACAGCUUGAUAAAGGCAGUGAAAGUCUGGCUCUCCUCUGCACAUAGUACUUUUGAAUGCAGAUAUGUGUAGACGUCCAUAAACAGCAGACCUCAAUUGAAAACGGGAAGCCAAGAUUUGGAGCCAGGUCUGUUUGAGCAUAAAGUGUAUUGUUUCUGUCACUCCUUUCAAAAAUGAGGCCUUUCUGAGCUUCCUCUAGUCUGCAAAGUACUGCAUGAUUGAAGAAAGAGGGAGAGAGGCUUCUUUGUCUAGAGGCCCACCAAAUUGAACUAAACAGACAGCCGAAUUUACACACGGAGUACUAGAGACUUCUGAGGAAUAGAGAUGGGUCAGAGAGCUCCCUUCAUGACUGAGCACUGUCUGUGUGUCAGGUGCUGUUCCA
rnacentral:lncRNA from 10 species